rnacentral:rRNA from 1 species
CCUACGGGAGGCAGCAGUGAGGAAUAUUGGUCAAUGGACGAGAGUCUGAACCAGCCAAGUAGCGUGAAGGAUGACUGCCCUAUGGGUUGUAAACUUCUUUUAUAAAGGAAUAAAACGAGGCACGUGUGCCUUUUUGCAUGUACUUUAUGAAUAAGGAUCGGCUAACUCUGUGCCAGCAGCCGCGGUAAUACUGAGGAUCCGAGCGUUAUCCGGAUUUCUUGGGUUUAAAGGGAGCGUAGAUGGGUUGUUAAGUCAGUUGUGAAAGUUUGCGGCUCAACCGUAAGAUUGCAAUUGAUACUGGCAGUCUUGAGUACAGGUGAGGUAGGCGGAAUUCGUGGUGUAGCGGUGAAAUGCUUAGAUAUCACGAAGAACCCCGAUUGCGAAGGCAGCUUACUAAACUGUGACUGACAUUGAUGCUCGAAAGUGUGGGUAUCAAACAGGAUUAGAUACCCUUGUAGUC